UACGGAGGGGGCUAGCGUUGUUCGGAAUUACUGGGCGUAAAGCGCACGUAGGCGGCUUUGCAGGUUAGAGGUGAAAGCCCGGGGCUCAACUCCGGAAUUGCCUUUAAAACUGCAUCGCUAGAAUUGUGGAGAGGUAAGUGGAAUUCCGAGUGUAGAGGUGAAAUUCGUAGAUAUUCGGAAGGACACCAGUGGCGAAGGCGACUUACUGGACACAUAUUGACGCUGAGGUGCGAAAGCGUGGGGAGCAAACAGG
rnacentral:rRNA from 1 species